UGGGGAAUAUUGGACAAUGGGCGAAAGCCUGAUCCAGCAAUGCCGCGUGAGUGAUGAAGGCCUUAGGGUUGUAAAGCUCUUUUACCCGGGAUGAUAAUGACAGUACCGGGAGAAUAAGCUCCGGCUAACUCCGUGCCAGCAGCCGCGGUAAUACGGAGGGAGCUAGCGUUGUUCGGAAUUACUGGGCGUAAAGCGCACGUAGGCGGCUAUUCAAGUCAGAGGUGAAAGCCCGGGGCUCAACCCCGGAACUGCCUUUGAAACUAGAUAGCUUGAAUCCAGGAGAGGUGAGUGGAAUUCCGAGUGUAGAGGUGAAAUUCGUAGAUAUUCGGAAGAACACCAGUGGCGAAGGCGGCUCACUGGACUGGUAUUGACGCUGAGGUGCGAAAGCGUGGGGAGCAAACA
rnacentral:rRNA from 1 species